GCCAGGCAGUUGCUACCCUUCGUUUUUUUCACUGUAAUGAGCAGGAAGCUUGCCUGUCUGCUCCGAGGGUAGCUGCUGUCCUGCUCUCCCUUCGUACACUGUCUGUUUCCACUGGCCUGCCCCUCCUUUCCUUCUGAAGCUUGCUUUUAUGUAAACACGAGUAAAAAAUGUCAAAUCACCUCAUCUUCAAGAAGCCUUGCGUCACAGAAGUGAGGAGUUGCAGAAGGGUCGAAACCCAAACUGUUACGUUGAAAGUAUAACUGAGCUACAACUUUCUUUUUUUUUUUUGGUCAGGCUGAUAUUCGUAAACCCUUUGGAAAUUAAAGAAUAUUCUUUUGAGAAGCGCCUGAUUGUUGUGGAGACUGAUAAAUCACUAGGAGGUCACAUGGUGGAACGUGUUGCUAAGCAGUAUUUCCAGCCCUUGCUAUUUGAAUGCAUUUGGUACUGCUGCUUAAUUACUACAUUUCCCUGAUUUUUCCAUAGAACUUCAGUAUGAGCACCACUCCAUUCCAUGCUCUUGUCUUUCUGUCUACACGAUUGUUUGAAUUCCUGAGCACUGCAUCUUCCCACCACUUUUACUUCGCUGACUGCUUAAUGGCUUUCAACACUGACAGAUGUGCUGUGUUGCCCCUUAAGAUACUACAACACUAGCAGUCCACUUCUGUGAGACACUGAUCCACUGCUGUAUUCUGUUGGUAUUUACCCAGGCAACAGAACACAGUAUGUAUCUGCACCUCAGCUGGGCUGGCACAUAACCCAAGGCAUUUAAGCUGCUGGAUAUUCUGGCUUCUUCUAAACAAACGUUGUGCUUGAAGUGCAGGCACAAGUUCACAUCUGCCAGCUCUGCUGAAGAGGAAGCAGUGGCCCACAAUAGCAUAGUGUAGAUAGCAGGAAUCACUUACUUUUUAGAUGCACAAGCCAGGAGUCACUAAAGCACGUCAUUCACUCUUCUGUUACAACUAAACAUUUUUUGUUCAUUAAAUCUGAGAGGGCUGUGUUUUGAAUUAAGAAGUGUUGAAAAAGGAAGAUGAUGGGACUGAGACAAAAAACACUGAUACCUAAACUGCAGCCAGUUUCCUGUCCGUAUGAGCUUUCAAUUCCUGAAAAUGUUGUGAGGUACCUUAAGAAAAAGCUAAGGGACUUUCCUUUUUGAUACAAAUAGCGUGAUCCAAGUGGUAGUCUUAGUCAUUAUGGCAUCUCUUUGGUACUUCCUCUGAGAUACGCUUUUUCAGUUUCUUUUCAUUUCAUAGAGCGCACUUCUGCUUUCAUAUUCUUCUUGCAGUCACACAAAGGACGUGCGGUCACACCAGGACAAGAAGGUGUUUUCAGAAAAGGUUUGAGCCAGCACUGUCAGGAGAGGUCCCCUGCCCUCCUCCUCCUGGCAGUGGAGUGACUGCAUAAUAAAUUCCAUCCGCAUGCUGAUCCAGUUCCCAAAAAAUGUCUAAAUGCAGCUGUGAGCAGACCAAACUAACUUCAUCAGUGAAAAGCCACCUUUUGCAAAUGUCUGAUUCUAGUAGCAGAAUCCAAAAGUACUUGGUGAUAAAAGAUUCGACUAUAAUACAGAAGGUAAUGUUUUGUACAGUACUGUAUGGUACAUCCUAACUUCAUAAUUGACUUGCGUAUCCAUGUUUGAGUUCCUGUUGAUUUUCAAGGCAUUCGGUAUUUCUAAGGUCUGUUUUUAUUGGCAUGGUCAUCACGGGCAAGCACGUAGGAAAAUUCGUUAUAUGGGAGUCCUGACAAACCUUUCUUAUGCUCCCAAUAGCCAGACCUACUGUUGCUAUAAUUUGAGGCAGCGUUGCGCACACCCACUGUGCUACAUACUGCUGGAAAGUCAAGUGCUGUCUGACUGUCAGCAGAUAAAAAUGUAAGCACGGGGUAUGAAAAGCAAGGAGCUGAGCAACUCCCAGGCUACCAGACUGGCUUAAAGUGCCACUUGGGUUGCAGAAUUCAUUUGUAGAGGUAACCGUGCUUUGGAAAUUGUGCUUGAGAUUCUAAUUCAUGAGAACUCCUAACAACAAAAAAAUUCUUAGUGAAUUGCUACAGGCUAGGCAAUUGGCUCUGAAGUGUACUGCAGUUGGGUU
ensembl:lncRNA